UACGUAGGCAGCAAGCGUUGUUCGGAAUUACUGGGCGUAAAGAGUGUGUAGGCGGUGCUCUAAGUUUGGUGUGAAAUCUCCCGGCUCAACCGGGAGGCUGCAUCGAAUACUGGAAUGCUAGAGGGUGGGAGAGGUAAGCGGAAUUCCUGGUGUAGCGGUGAAAUGCGUAGAUAUCAGGAGGAACACCGGUGGCGAAGGCGGCGACCUGGGUGGAUACUGACGCUGAGGUGCGAAAGCGUGGGGAGCAAACAGG
rnacentral:rRNA from 1 species